rnacentral:rRNA from 1 species
UACGUAGGGUGCAAGCGUUAAUCGGAAUUACUGGGCGUAAAGCGUGCGCAGGCGGUUGUGCAAGACAGAUGUGAAAUCCCCGGGCUUAACCUGGGAAUGGCAUUUGGGACUGCAAGGCUUGAGUGCGGCAGAGGAGACUGGAAUUCCUGGUGUAGCAGUGAAAUGCGUAGAUAUCAGGAGGAACACCGAUGGCGAAGGCAAUCCCCUGGACCUGUACUGACGCUCAUGCACGAAAGCGUGGGGGAGCAAACAGGAU